rnacentral:rRNA from 1 species
AUUGAACGCUGGCGGCAGGCCUAACACAUGCAAGUCGAGCGGAUGAGAAGAGCUUGCUCUUCGAGUUAGCGGCGGACGGGUGAGUAAUGCCUAGGAAUCUGCCUGGUAGUGGGGGACAACGUUUCGAAAGGAACGCUAAUACCGCAUACGUCCUACGGGAGAAAGCAGGGGACCUUCGGGCCUUGCGCUAUCAGAUGAGCCUAGGUCGGAUUAGCUAGUUGGUGAGGUAAUGGCUCACCAAGGCGACGAUCCGUAACUGGUCUGAGAGGAUGAUCAGUCAAACUGGAACUGAGACACGGUCCAGACUCCUACGGGAGGCAGCAGUGGGGAAUAUUGGACAAUGGGCGAAAGCCUGAUCCAGCCAUGCCGCGUGUGUGAAGAAGGUCUUCGGAUUGUAAAGCACUUUAAGUUGGGAGGAAGGGCAGUAAGCGAAUAUCUUGCUGUUUUGACGUUACCAACAGAAUAAGCACCGGCUAACUCUGUGCCAGCAGCCGCCGUAAUAC